AUUGAACGCUGGCGGCAUGCCUUACACAUGCAAGUCGAACGGCAGCACGGGGGCAACCCUGGUGGCGAGUGGCGAACGGGUGAGUAAUACAUCGGAAUGUACCCAGUAGUGGGGGAUAACUAGUCGAAAGAUUAGCUAAUACCGCAUACGCACUAUGGUGGAAAGCGGGGGAUCGCAAGACCUCGCGCUAUUGGAGCAGCCGAUGUCCGAUUAGGUAGUUGGUGGGGUAAAGGCCUACCAAGCCUGCGAUCGGUAACUGGUCUGAGAGGACGACCAGUCACACUGGGACUGAGACACGGCCCAGACUCCUACGGGAGGCAGCAGUGGGGAAUUUUGGACAAUGGGGGAAACCCUGAUCCAGCAAUGCCGCGUGUGUGACGAAGGCCUUCGGUUGUAAGCACUUUGUCGGACGAACGGACGCUUCUAAUACAGAGCGCUAAUGACGGUACCCGCCAGAAUAAAGCACCGGCCUAACUAACGUGCCAGCAGCCGCGGUAAUCACG
rnacentral:rRNA from 1 species